rnacentral:rRNA from 1 species
AGAACACAAGGUUGAUAGGUGAGGGGUGUAAGUGUGGUAACAUAUUUAGCUGACUCAUACUAAUAGAUCGAGGGCUUGACCAA